rnacentral:rRNA from 1 species
AUUGAACGCUGGCGGCAGGCCUAACACAUGCAAGUCGAGCGGAUGAAGGGAGCUUGCUCCUGGAUUCAGCGGCGGACGGGUGAGUAAUGCAUAGGAAUCUGCCUGGUAGUGGGGGAUAACGUCCGGAAACGGGCGCUAAUACCGCAUACGUCCUGAGGGUGAAAGUGGGGGAUCUUCGGACCUCACGCUAUCAGAUGAGCCUAGGUCGGAUUAGCUAGUUGGUUGGGUAAAGGCCUACCAAGGCGACGAUCCGUAACUGGUCUGAGAGGGUGAUCAGUCACACUGGAACUGAGACACGGUCCAGACUCCUACGGGAGGCAGCAGUAGGGAAUAUUGGGCAAUGGGCGAAAGCCUGAUGCAGCCAUGCCGCGUGUGUGAAGAAGGUCUUCGGAUUGUAAAGCACUGUAAGUUGGGAGGAAGGGCAGUAAGUUAAUACCUUGCUGUUUUGACGUUACCAACAGAAUAAGCACCGGCUAACUUCGUG